rnacentral:rRNA from 1 species
UACGGAGGGGGCUAGCGUUGUUCGGAAUUACUGGGCGUAAAGCGCACGUAGGCGGUCUUUUAAGUCGGGGGUGAAAUCCUGGAGCUCAACUCCAGAACUCUCCGUAUACUGGAAGACUUGAGUCCGGGAGAGGUGAGUGGAACUGCGAGUGUAGAGGUGAAAUUCGUAGAUAUUCGCAAGAACACCAGUGGCGAAGGCGGCUCACUGGCCCGGGUACUGACGCUGAGGUGCGAAAGCGUGGGGAGCAAACAGG